UGGGGAAUAUUGCGCAAUGGACGAAAGUCUGACGCAGCAACGCCGCGUGAGGGAUGACGGCCUUCGGGUUGUAAACCUCUUUCAGCAGGGACGAAGCGAGAGUGACGGUACCUGCAGAAGAAGGACCGGCCAACUACGUGCCAGCAGCCGCGGUAAUACGUAGGGUCCGAGCGUUGUCCGGAAUUAUUGGGCGUAAAGGGCUCGUAGGCGGUUCGUCACGUCGGGAGUGAAAACUCGGAGCUUAACUCCGAGCCUGCUUCCGAUACGGGCAGACUAGAGGUAGGCAGGGGAGAGCGGAACUCCUGGUGUAGCGGUGAAAUGCGCAGAUAUCAGGAGGAACACCGGUGGCGAAGGCGGGUCCCUGGGCCGAUACUGACGCUGAGGAGCGAAAGCGUGGGGAGCGAAC
rnacentral:rRNA from 1 species